rnacentral:rRNA from 1 species
AUGGCCAGGUGGCCUACUCCUCAGAACGUGACUGAAUUAAGAGGGUUUUUGGGGCUCACGGGAUAUCACAGGAAGUUUGUGCAAGGAUAUGGUAUAAUUGCUAAACCACUCACUCAACUACUGAAGAAACAAGCAUUUGCUUGGUCCUCAGAGGCCCAGGAAGCCUUUGAGAAACUCAAGGCAGCGAUGAUGACUACUCCUGUAUUAGUGUUGCCUGACUUUGACCAGCCGUUCUGCAUUGAAACAGAUGCAUGUGCUACAGGAAUUGGUGCUGUGCUCACUCAAGGAGGACACCCUGUUGCCUUUUAUAGCAAAGCUUUGGGCAUCAAAAAUCAAUCUCUG